rnacentral:rRNA from 1 species
UACAGAGGUCUCAAGCGUUGUUCGGAUUCAUUGGGCGUAAAGGGUGCGUAGGUGGCGCCGUAAGUCAGGUGUGAAAUCUCGGGGCUUAACUCCGAAACUGCAUUUGAUACUGCGGUGCUUGAGGACUGGAGAGGAGACUGGAAUUUACGGUGUAGCAGUGAAAUGCGUAGAGAUCGUAAGGAAGACCAGUGGCGAAGGCGGGUCUCUGGACAGAUUCUGACGCUGAGGCACGAAGGCCAGGGGAGCAAACGGG